UACGUAGGUGGCGAGCGUUAUCCGGAAUUACUGGGUGUAAAGGGCGCGUAGGCGGGGAUGCAAGUCAGGUGUGAAAUCUAUGGGCUUAACCCAUAAACUGCACUUGAAACUGUGUCUCUUGAGUGAUGGAGAGGUAAGUGGAAUUCCUAGUGUAGCGGUGGAAUGCGUAGAUAUUAGGAGGAACACCAGUGGCGAAGGCGACUUACUGGACAUUAACUGACGCUGAGGCGCGAAAGCGUGGGGAGCAAACAGGAUUAGAUACC
rnacentral:rRNA from 1 species